GAUCUCUGGUGGGGAAGGGAAACUGAUUUUUUUUUUUUUAAUAAUUACAUAAGAUUACGGGAAAAACUGUGUUUCCUCUUGUUUUUCACAGAUAAUACCCUUCCUACUCUUUCUAGAGAACGCUGUUCUUACAGGCAAAUCCCCCAGACCAGAGGGACAUUUUUUCUUGAAUACAAGGACAAGAAAACACAAGGUGAAUGGUGCUGAUGCUUCUGUCCUUUGCAACAGCAUCUGCAGUGCAUACCUGGGCCUGUUGGGAGGAGGCUUCGUUUACAGGCAGAAGAUUUCCAGAUUUCUUCAAGGACAUCUAACGAUUGGUAUUUAAUGCUCACCAGUGCAGUAUGUGCUGCUUCAGUCUCAUGAAGCAGGGAUAUAACUUCACCUGUUCAGACUGGAGAUCAGCUGGAGAGUAACAAGAAUGGGAAUUUAAAACCAAGGGGGAAAUUUUAUUAUAAAUGUAGAACCUAAAACCUAAAUUGCAAUUUUCAUUUAAUAAAGUAAGACCUCCAGGGUAUUUGCUGAUUGGUCAUACUUCAAAGCUGACUGACAAGUGUAUGAUUCCCCAGUACCUCUUGAAGUGAGGGCUUCCCACUUCAUUUAUGCAUCAGAAAGCACAGUUGAUGCUGCAACAGGUGCUGAACAAACUUGUGAAUUUUCUCUUCACUCUUUUUUUUAUUUUAUUUGUUUUUCUUCCUGGAUGUGAGAACUAAGUGUGGAAACGUGUGUUCUUCUUUAAUUGAUGUGGGUUUUUUUCCUUCAUCGGUUCAAAUCUUUGUUCAAAUGAGGAGAGAGCUUUUAAAGCAAAUCUCCUCUUCAUUUCACUUCUCACACACAUUGGUUUGCAACACAUCAUAACUACCGAGUGCACAAACCAGAUUUUCUUCCAAUUAAACUAAACUGGGAGAUGUGAGACAUCCAUACCGCAUUGUUCCAAUCUCCACUGGCCGCUGACAGGUCUGGACUGGAAUCUUCUGAAGGGAAGUAUCUUAAUCCAUGAAUAUCAUGGAAUGUGGAUGCAUGGAUAGUCUGGCUUUGGACCUUGGAGCUCCAGUGCUCUACAAAUCUAUCCCUACUAGACUGCAUUACCAGAUCAUGUAGACACAGCUUUUUCUGCACAAAUAUUCUGCCUUUGUCUCCUUCUGCACAGGAACAGUUUGGAUCUUACUCAAACAGUAAACAUGAAAGAUCAUUCAUAAUUAUUUAUCUCUCAACUCUCAGGAUACACAUAUGCUGACAGCCCAGUAAGCUCAGAAACGAAGUGAAGAUAUGAAGGUCAUGCAGUUGGAAAAAAAUAGAAGUCAGAACUCAUAAAUGAUAUUUUCAGAUGUGAAUUUAAGCUCUUUUAAUGCUAAUAAAAUUGACAUGAGCUUAGCCAGUCUGCUCCUAAAUCUAGCCAACACUUCAGUAACCUCUGCUGAGUUAAAAAACAUACUUCUGCUCCUCCAGGUGUGAAGCAAUUGCUGCAGAUGAGCACUACUGUCUCUAUGGAAAGACCACAGACAGACCUUAAUGUUCCCAGCAGCUUUGACCUAAGUAAGAGUUUAACAUACAUUGCAGUGAGGAAACCACCAUGGAUAUUCUCUGCAAACUCUUUCCUGGAUGAGGUACCUUCCCUGAAAGGCAGCCUGAGAGUGCUGAACAUUGUCAUGCAGGACCUGCAAUAAAGCUGAACUACAGUUAUAACACAGCAUAGUAUUACUUUUGUAUUUGUCAUGAGAUUAGAUUCUUGUCAAGACAUUUCUUGCCCCCAUAUAUAUCACUGUGGGUAGAACAAAGCAAAGACAAAAGUCAGCUCCCAGUGGUGGGCAAGGGACAGCACCAGUUGCCUCUCUCAAAUAAUUCUUACAAGUCUUUGUGUGAUAAUAUCCCUCUGUAUGUGUCUGUUUUGAAUGCCAUCUCAGUCAUUUAUUUCUUUUCUUCUUUUUUAUUACAGGCUCCCUAUUCCAACAUGAAAAGGUUCUCCUGCUCAUUCCUCCUUCCCAUUGCUGAGGCAGAUGGACUGCUGGUUAUUAAAUAUUCUUCCUAAUGCAGCUGGGCAGCCCAUGUGUGCUCUAUAUUGGUGGGCCAACAGGAAUUUUUAUUGCCUAAUAAGCAGUCAAUAAAGUGAUGCUAAAAAAAGUUACUCCACAAAUUAUUCCAAUACAUAAAACCAACAUGAAUGUCACUGAUGCCAUCGAGUCCAAACAAAGCAAGUGAGCAGCAGUGGCUUUGGACAGUGGAUGCAGAGCAUACAUUGAGCAAGUCCUAACACGUAUGAGAGAAAUGCCUCCAUUUUUCACCUCAGAGACUCAGUCAAGGCUAAUUUCUGAAACCAUUUAUCCGCCUUUAGCUUGAAUGGGCUCCUCAAUACACAUCUGUAGCACCUAGGGCAGCUGCUGACAGCAGAAAAGGAGAGCUGCGAUCAUGAAAAUGUGCACAUCAUAGGGAAGGAUAGAGAAGGGCUGGCAGCACUGGAGGUCUGGUCAGACCUCCUUCAGGUGAAAGUUGCACCCUCCAGCAAAUUUGGGUCCCCACUCUCUCCUAUCCUUUUCAAGAGACAGGGCAAAGGAAAAGGAGUGAGUUCAGAAGUCAGAAUUGGUUGGCCCUCAUAGGAACGGGAUGGAGAGAAGAUGCCCCGAGGCCAGCCCAUAAUGCAGAACAAAUAAGAAAUACUCUGUGGUCUGAGUUAUUCCCACCUCAUUUUAGUGUAACAAGAACAUUUUAGUGUAUCAGUAUUUUGAAUGAAAAGCAGAAGGAAAAAUAUAGUGGAUCUUUGCAUAGUACCAAGACAAAUUUUUCUUCCAUCAUCUAAAGGUGUGUUUUUCUUUCCUGUGGAGUUUCAGGUGACAGCACAACCUGACCUGGGCCUGACACAUGUUAUGAGGUUUGCAGUGUCAUACAGUUGCAGAGUGCCAUAGCCCUGUGCUAGCGUGGGACUACAGAAGUGCUGGUGAUAAUGGAAUGCUGUAAGCCCCCAGGAUAAACCAAUAACCAAGAACUGCAAAACACCAUGGAACGCUCAUACUGCCAUGCAUCCAAAAUGCUCUCCUACACAAAUGCUACAUUGUUGGUUAUCAAAAGCAGGAGAUUGCUUGGAGGAAUU